UACGGGGGGGGCAAGCGUUGUUCGGAAUUACUGGGCGUAAAGGGCUCGUAGGCGGCCAACUAAGUCCGACGUGAAAUCCCCAGGCUCAACCUGGGAACUGCGUCGGAUACUGGAUGGCUUGAAUUCGGGAGAGGGAUGCAGAAUUCCAGGUGUAGCGGUGAAAUGCGUAGAUAUCUGGAGGAAUACCGGUGGCGAAGGCGGCAUCCUGGACCGACAUUGACGCUGAGGAGCGAAAGCUAGGGGAGCAAACGGGG
rnacentral:rRNA from 1 species